rnacentral:lncRNA from 1 species
CACCUGCCCUCCAGAUCUUAAGAGUUUAUGAAAAGGCCCUAAUUGGGCUCCGUCAUGUGUAUUGUGCAGGUGUCAUCAACACAACAGCAUCCUCAUCUCCAGGCGCUGUCCUUGGAGCAGCCUCCGGGAGCAGGCAAGGGCCAUCUUGCAGCAAACCUUCCCCCUGCUGAAUGAAGCCCAUUGCCGGGGCCUCUGGUCCUGCCAAGGAAAGAGCUGGUUUACAUCUCCCUGACUGGACCCCGAGCACCUGGAGGACAGAGACUGUGUCUCAUUUGGCAUUUAUUGUGUGCAGCACACGGCACAGGAACACGACAGACAUACCCAGAAAAGUGCAUUCCGGAAGGAGAACUCCCUUGCUUGAGAGCGUUGGCAAUCCUAAAUAAACAAAAAUGCAACAUUUAGAAACAGCUCAUCUGGUGUUUCACGUCUCAUCUGCUGCCCAGUUGGUCUGAGAAUGUGGCCCAAAAGAUGGCUUAGAUGAUCUAUGACCAAGUGAUCCAACCCCGGACAAAAGAUUCAUUAAUUUGCUACAGAGAAAAUGUGGCCCACAGAGUCAAAAUUUAAAAAAAAAAAAAAAAAAAAUUUUAAAGUUCUGUUUUCAAUUUGGAAUUUGAGCUAUCCUGACAUUGGCCCAAGUGUGGUGGAAAGGCAAGUCUUUUAUAUCCUUGAGUUGUUUUGACAUAGCCAGGGACACUUGGAGGAUAAGAUUCAACAAAUGUGGGCGCCUGGGUGGCUCAGUGGGUUAAGCUGCUGCCUUCGGCUCAGGUCAUGAUCUCAGGGUCCUGGGAUCGAGUCNNNNNNN